GGGGGUGCCCUGGUUUCGACGGGUUACUGGAAAUUUUGUGGGCGUGUCCAGGUUGGUCUCCAAGGUCCUGGUAAAAAGGAGCCCAAACCAUAAUUGCUAAAUCGAACGAUUUCGCUAUGCCAAUGGCUGCUUAAUAAGCAAAACCAUAAAGCAUGAGGGGCUUACACCGAUAACAAAAAGUAAGCAACCUUGGUAAGUCCACAAAUAAAACGGGCUUGAUGGAACUGCCAUGAAAACCAUCUCAAAAAACGAAUGGGGUUUGUCGAGGUCGCGUAUCUCGGACAGUCUUGUCUACUGACGAUAACCGUAGACUACGCACGUAGUCCGCUCUAUAGAAAUUAAUUCGGACGCGAGUUCGAUUCUCGCCACCUCCACCA
rnacentral:tmRNA from 1 species